rnacentral:rRNA from 1 species
CAGUCGCCGCGGGAAUACGAAGGGUGCAAGCGUUACUCGGAAUUACUGGGCGUAAAGCGUGCGUAGGUGGUGGUUUAAGUCCGUUGUGAAAGCCCUGGGCUCAACCUGGGAAUUGCAGUGGAUACUGGGUCACUAGAGUGUGGUAGAGGAUAGUGGAAUUUCCGGUGUAGCAGUGAAAUGCGUAGAGAUCGGAAGGAACAUCUGUGGCGAAGGCGACUAUCUGGGCCAACACUGACACUGAGGCACGAAAGCGUGGGGAGCAAACAGGAUUAGAUACCCCAGUAGUCCUGUCUCUUAUACA